rnacentral:rRNA from 1 species
CACGUAGGGCGCAAGCGUUUGUCCGGAAUUAUUGGGCGUAAAGAGCUCGUAGGCGGUCUGUUGCGUCCGCUGUGAAAACUCGGGGCUUAACCCCGAGCCUGCAGUGGAUACGGGCAGACUAGAGGUAGGUAGGGGAGAAUGGAAUUCCCGGUGUAGAGGUGAAAUUCGUAGAUAUCGGGAGGAACACCGGUGGCGAAGGCGGCGACCUGGGUAGAUACUGACGCUGAGGUGCGAAAGCGUGGGGAGCAAACAGG